rnacentral:rRNA from 1 species
GAUGAACGCUGGCGGCGUGCCUAAUACAUGCAAGUCGAGCGAACAGACGAGGAGCUUGCUCCUCUGACGUUAGCGGCGGACGGGUGAGUAACACGUGGAUAACCUACCUAUAAGACUGGGAUAACUUCGGGAAACCGGAGCUAAUACCGGAUAAUAUAUUGAACCGCAUGGUUCAAUAGUGAAAGACGGUUUUGCUGUCACUUAUAGAUGGAUCCGCGCCGCAUUAGCUAGUUGGUAAGGUAACGGCUUACCAAGGCAACGAUGCGUAACCGACCUGAGAGGGUGAUCGGCCACACUGGAACUGAGGCACGGUCCAGACUCCUACGGGAGGCAGCAGUAGGGAAUCUUCCGCAAUGGGCGAAAGCCUGACGGAGCAACGCCGCGUGAGUGAUGAAGGUCUUCGGAUCGUAAAACUCUGUUAUUAGGGAAGAACAAAUGUGUAAGUAACUAUGCACGUCUUGACGGUACCUAAUCAGAAAGCCACGGCUAACUACGUG